rnacentral:misc_RNA from 1 species
AUAUAAAAAAGGACAAGAUACACGUAUAUAUAUGAAAUGGGAGUUCUAGUAUGAUCAGCCAAAUUUGAUCAGUUCUACUGCGAAGAUUCAGACCAUGGCAAACCUCGUUGAAUUGUCACCGGCCUACAUGCUUGAAGACACGUUUUAUCAUCGACAAUAGUAACCCCUUGUGUCACAAUAAUCAUUUAUAAUGAACUUUAAAAAGUACUACAAGAUCGUUUGGUUAAUCAGAACAUCAAUCAAGAACCUACACAAACACUGUUGAAUCAUCCUGUCAGCUUGAUUGCUUAAGAUGGCUUUGGUUGACAUUGACUCCACUUGAAAGUCUCACCGCCAGCAGAUAAUCGGCUUAGCCAACGGAAGGACGAUUAGUCUAUUGAAGAUCAAUCAGAUCGUCAUCUAUGACCAGUUUCUAAUAAAAUUUCUAGCAUGAAGUUCAUCAACCGUUUGACUAAUACUUUAUAGGGUUUCCAACUUGAAUCCUACACUAAGACCUGAAGAGUCAUUUCUAAAACUCAGCCAAAUCCACAUUAAAGAACUUUGAUAGGAUUUCAAUUAAGGGUGCCAUAACUAAAGGAUGUUUUUACGGAGGUAUCCUCGUCAAGCCUGUGUGAACUAAUUGUUAAGUCUGGAAACCAUGUCGGUGGUUAUGAGAUUACCAGAAAGCGGCUUCCCAAGAAUGAUUACUCAAUGAGGAGGAUGUGGCUUUAAAGACCUAUUUAUCGACCGAGUCGCUUUAGAACCAGGAUCUUACGACAACUAAGCGACUUACUCUCUGGAAGGAAGCUCUUUCUUCGGUCAAAACCUCAGUUUAACACGAUUAAAGAGCUUUGGCAAGGUAAUGGAAUAGUCCGUUCACAGCGUGAUGGUGUACUUCUACCAUAUUUGAUGAAGGUCUUGAAAGCCGAGGUUAUGGCAAAGACACCUUCAAAUUCUGAGUUCUCAAUAGACAGCAUCUUAAAGGGAACAAAAAGCGAGAGACUACCNUCUUCUCAUGAAGCACUGAUGUUGGCUGAGAAAAUGGCAGACAUCAUACUGAAGGUAGCAGAUGGUCGCAAGAUUCGACGCACGCGUACGACGUUCAACCAGUUUCAACUAGAAACACUUGAACGUGCGUUCUGUCGUACACACUACCCGGAUGUACUACUACGAGAACAGUUGGCACUUUAUACGAACCUGCCAGAAUCAAGAAUACAGGUUUGGUUCAAAAAUCGAAGAGCGAAAUAUCGCAAAGCUAAAGAAGCACUUAGUCACUCAUCGAUCGGAGACAAAAACGAGGACGAAAACGCGAUUGACAAGACCAUACAAACACCACUUCCAGACAGCACAGUAUCAUCCCAGCCUCCACCUAAGGAGACAGAGUAUAUUUUCCUGGAUAAAACCAAGGAUUUCCUACGAGCUGCUCAUGACCAGCCAAUACGUCCCACGCCNAUUCAUACGAGUGCACCGAUAUAUGGGUACCCAUACACGACCAUGGAUCCCUGGGGGUUCUCGAUGGACUGGCCUUAUCAUGGCAAUAGAAUCCUAGCGUAUCACCAACAGACAUCGUCUUACUGAAAAUGCACUUUCGUCGCGCUUCGUAAAGAACUUUCAUUCUUCCAUACUUCCAAAUGUUCUGAGGUUUUUUAAACCUGAUAUAGGGUACCCGAAAUGGUCUAUUGCGGUAUUGCACUGAUUUGAUCAGGAAUAUGUAGGUGUUUUCAUUUAGCCUUGUUUAUUCCUGUAUGUUUUAAUAGAUGAAAACUGAUUAGCCAUUCCAAAGUUGAGAAAAAGACUGGGUCGAGUUGGCAUUAAAGUGCAUAGACCAAAUUCAAAACUCGCACCGAUGUGAGGCUUAAGUUGUGAACAAAGGAAUCUGGCGUGACUCAAAGUAAUUUGGGGUGAUUCAAAAGUCACGAAUCACGCCAGAUUCCUUUGUUCACAACUUAAACCUCACAUCGGUGCGAGUUUUGAAUUUGGUCUAUUGUAGGGCUGUUUUUACAAGAUGGCAUNUAUUUCGUCCCCUAAAACAGUCCCACAAUGCACUGCAAAUCCAACUCGACCCAGUCUUUUACUCAAACUCGGAGAGACUAAUAAUAUGAAUGCUUUUAGGGAAAAGGUAGUUUACAAUGCAAAGAUUGAGUGAUUCUUGAGUAUAAGUUGUUCUUGGCAUAAGAUAAUUAUACUAAGGUUUCCAAAUUAUGGAUGAUUUCAGGAAUUUGUACUAUGAGGAAGCGGUUAUGAUUUAGGUAAUAGGAAGUAGGGUAGGAUAAAUAGUUUCUGAUGGACCAGCAAUUUUUAGCAAGAAACACUUAGGUUGGUAGGUUAGUUUGAGUUCUCNCAUCAAAAAUAUAAUAGAUUUCAAGGGGGGUCUACUAAAAUGGCAUCCUUUCAAAACUUAUACUACCUCCACUCAUAAAUUAUAGAUGCUUACUAAGGGAUUAUGAUGAUAUAAAGGUCACAGUAGUAACUUCUGCAGGAGACAUUCAAAUAUAAUAACUAGAGCAUAUAUAGUUCUGAACAAAUCCUAGACAUGAAGAGAUAAAGUAAGUCUCUGUGUAGUGUUGAGAGCCAUUGCCUUAUUUUUGUAGUUUAUAAUAUAGCAAAAAAUGUGUAUUCUUGUUUGUAGAUUUGGUAUUUGUAAGCUUGUAACAUUUGGUACUUUAGUAAGGAAAAGAAAAAGAAAAUUUAAAUAUAUUGAAAAGUAUUUUAUGUCACCUAAUAAAAUUUAUUUG